AGUGCUGUCUCACACCUAGCAGGGAGGCGAUAGAGCAACAACACUUGCCUUGCUAUGUCUGUCAUCGUUUCUUUACCUGAAGUGUAGUGAAAAAGCUUGAAAAAUGCUUCUAGGCCUACAUUAUCAAAAGUAGAACAACAGUCUAGUAUCCUGGAACCUUACCAAUCAAUCAGUCAACCAAUCAACGUCCUAGGCGCUGUCCUCAUUGCAUCAAAAAGGCCCUGCUUCUGCUACAGCAUCAGAGCCGCUAAGGCCGUAGUUUGCAAAAUGAAAAUAAGAGGGAAGAGAAGCAGUUGCCACGAAGCAGUAAAAGCAUCAUUGCAGGAAGCGCCAAAAUACACAACUUCUGCUGCUACCCCGACUGACUUUAUCACCCGUUAACUGCAGUUUAUAACGACAUGGCGGUCACAGCAAGAACACAUCAAUGAGGACAUCUGUGAGAGCUGGGUUUGCAUCCAAAGUACGUUUACUUUCUGAGAGCCACAAUGUUAUGUGUUGAAGGCAUUUCUACUCCCUGAUGGUCUCCGUGGAGAAUUCUGAGGGAGCUGUGGUAUUAUUCAGCGGUAACUUCCCAGGUAAGGGCAUGGGGAUGCUUCAUGUGACUUCCUGCUAAUAUCCCAAGGCCCCAGGCUCUGAAUGGCAGGAUGUCUGUUCUCCAGCUGGUUUUCCAACAGGAAGAGAGGAUCAAAUAAACAAUGCUUACACAGUAGUUUUUCUGAAACCACAGCUCUGGAGAGAUGUGCAGAGAGCCAACUGAAAGAGCCAGCUAAAGUCACCGAGUCU